rnacentral:rRNA from 1 species
AUUGAACGCUGGCGGCAGGCCUAACACAUGCAAGUCGAACGAGUGGCGGACGGGUGAGUAAUGUUUGGGAAUCUGCCUUAUGGAGGGGGAUAACUACUGGAAACUGUAGCUAAUACCGCAUACCAUAGGAUGAGCCCAUGUGGGAUUAGGUAGUUGGUGGGGUAAAGGCUCACCAAGCCGACGAUCUCUAGCUGGUCUGAGAGGAUGACCAGCCACACUGGGACUGAGACACGGCCCAGACUCCUACGGGAGGCAGCAGUGGGGAAUAUUGCACAAUGGGGGCAAGCCUGACGCAGCCAUGCCGCGUGAAUGAAGAAGGCCUUCGGGUUGUAAAGUACUUUCGGUGGCGAGGCGUUACCCACAGAAGAAGCACCGGCUAACUCCGUGCCAGCAGCCGCGGUAAUAC